UAAGGAAUAUUGGACAAUGGAGGCAACUCUGAUCCAGCCAUGCCGCGUGAAGGAAUAAGGCCCUAUGGGUUGUAAACUUCUUUUAGACGGGACAAAACCCCUUUACGUGUAAAGGGUUGAUGGUACUGUCAGAAUAAGCAUCGGCUAACUUCGUGCCAGCAGCCGCGGUAAUACGAAGGAUGCAAGCGUUAUCCGGAAUUAUUGGGUUUAAAGGGUGCGUAGGCGGACUAAUAAGUCAGUGGUGAAAGCCUGCAGCUUAACUGCAGAAUUGCCAUUGAUACUGUUAGUCUUGAGUACAGUUGAGGUAGGCGGAAUGUGUCAUGUAGCGGUGAAAUGCUUAGAUAUGACGCAGAACACCGAUUGCGAAGGCAGCUUGCUAAGCUGUAACUGACGCUGAGGCACGAAAGCGUGGGGAGCAAAC
rnacentral:rRNA from 1 species